UCGAGAGAGUGUGAGAGAGAGAGAGAGAGCUCUGUGCUCUCUGACCCGACGCGACCCGGGAACCCGCAACAGGAUCCGACCAGCGCUGCUCCGUCCGGCCACCUCACGACGGCGUGCGGCAACUAGCAGCUUCAUCUCGGUGUCGCCUACGUCCCUGUGGUUCCAGAUCAUACAUGCAGCGACUGGGAACGAAGAAUCGGCGAUCUAAAGCUUGAAGAACCUCCGGCGUGUUCUGCAGUUUCCGGCUACUCCGGCCACCGUUUGGGCCGCCUGUGAAGCUGUGAAUGGGUGGAAGUCGAUUUGGCAGUAUGUUUAUAGCCGGGUUCCAGGAAAGAGUUUAAUUAGAAGCUUGGGUUCUCACCUGCAAGUCGCACUGCUGAAGGACUCCAGUUAUCCGAGGAACAGAAGGUUCGCGACUCUCGGAGUAUGUGAGAGAAAGCAUCGGAAUCCAGUAUGAAUGCAGGUACUGUGCACUGGUGACGGGACAAUAGCGGAUGAAGCUAGGUGUGCAGAAUAAGUUCGGUAAAUUACCGUGUGAACCUUAUUCUAAAUUCUAUUUCUCGAACUUUGUGUUCUGGAACUUGUUGUUAUCUAGUCUCGCGUCAUCA